rnacentral:rRNA from 1 species
GACGAACGCUGGCGGCGUGCUUAACACAUGCAAGUCGAACGGUGAAGCACCAGCUUGCUGGAGUGGAUCAGUGGCGAACGGGUGAGUAACACGUGAGCAACCUGCCCCUGACUCUGGAAUAAGCGCUGGAAACGGCGUCUAAUACUGGAUACGAGAAGGGUCCGCAUGGGCACUUUCUGGAAAGUUUUUCGGUUGGGGAUGGGCUCGCGGCCUAUCAGCUUGUUGGUGAGGUAAUGGCUCACCAAGGCGACGACGGGUAGCCGGCCUGGGAGGGCGACCGGCCACACUGGGACUGAGACACGGCCCAGACUCCUACGGGAGGCAGCAGUGGGGAAUAUUGCACAAUGGGCGAAAGCCUGAUGCAGCGACGCCGCGUGAGGGAUGACGGCCUUCGGGUUGUAAACCUCUUUCAGCAGGGAAGAAGCGAAAGUGACGGUACCUGCAGAAGAAGCACCGGCUAACUACGUG